UGUUGCCCCUCCCAUCAUGGCAGGGAGUGCAAAGUCACUCACCUCAGGACAGGACAAAAGAGCAGGAAGGAGGCCACCACCACACACCGGAGAGACUGAGGAGCCACACACAGGCCUCCACAGAGGAGAGAGAGGGACAGCGUUGGUUGCCUCCCAGCAAAGGACCUCAAGUGACAUGUCGGACCUCACUGUCAUACCAAACAGCACUGCAGGAAGAAAGGAGUUGGAGGCACAUGGAAUGUGGAACACUGCCCAGAGCAGGUGGCAGAGCAGAGACGGGUCAGUUCUCGGCCACCACAUGAGGCCCUCAGUGCCAGCGCAAGGACAGGAGGCACCUUACACACAGCUACCAUCGCUUCAGCAGGACAAGGCAGAGCAUGGCCUAAGACCGGGGUUCACGGUUGCCCCACAGGGGCUAAGUGUGUUUCGGGGUCCUCAUCCAUACAAUGGGCUGGCUACAGGACCACAGGCUCUUGUGAGAACACAGUCAUCUGCCCAGAGUGUAGGAGCAGCUGUGGCAGAGAAUCGCCACCCUUGGCACUCAGGCACCUUGCCGAUAGGCUGAUGACAUUACUGCCUAGAGACACGAAAGGCUGAUGACUAGGGAUCGUGUGGAGAAAAGAUCUGCUCAGGGCUGAAAGCAGGUGAGAGAGCAAUCCGCUGGUGCUUGUCUGUGUUUGGAUGUCUGAGAGAUCCUGGGUGUUGGGCUGAGGGAAAGAGGCUUUUCACUGUCCACCCUUGGGUGAUCUUGGAUAAAUACACAUUUUUUGUUUGUUUGUUUCGUGAACAUAAGCUUUUGUUAAAAAAAGAAACAUACUUAAAAAUAUCUGCAAGUGUGCCGGUGGCAUGGUUCAGCAGUUGAGGACACUUGGACACUUGUUGCUUUGGCAGAGGACCCAGGAUUGCUUCCCCUCAGCCAUGGCUCACAACCAAUCCCACUCACCCCGGCCUUUGUAGGCACUGUUUGUACGAGGUGCACAGACACCCACGCUCAGAAAACAUUUUUAAAAAUCUUUCAAAAAUAUUUUCUUUAAAAGCCUAAAAACAACCCAACCAGAUCAUUAUUAGGGAACCCAUAGGGGGCUGACAGCUCAUUCUGAGGGAUCCCUCCCAGAGAGGUCAUCUCUGGCCAGAGGGGCCUGGAUUUCAUCUUCUCUUUUGUGUACCUUUUAAGUUUUAUUUUAUGUUUGAUUGUGUGUGUUUCUUGAGUAUGUGUAAGGGUGUGUGGUGUGCAUCACCACCACCUGGAUACAUUUUUUUAAAUUAAAAAAAAAGAAUGGGUCUGAAGACACAGCCGUUCUCACAAAAGAUUCAA